rnacentral:tRNA from 1 species
AGAGAGUUAGUCCAAAAAAGACCCCUGAUUUCGGCUCAGAAAACCAUGGUUUAAUUCCAUGACUCUCUU